CGCAAGAUGACACUAGAGCUGGAAGAGAGAGGUGGGUCACCCUUGUCGGUGGCUCUGAUAGUGAUGUUGUAUUCUGGGUUCUGCUCGCGGUCUAGAACCCCGUCCGUCACUAAUUUAUACGUGUUUCUAGAAGAAGGUCUUGAGCAGUCACUGAGAAGAUGGAGGAGCCUCUCGGAUUGUUCUCGGGGAUGUAGAUGGAGUAAGAGGAAUCUGAGAAGGGUAAAGAUUCAUUUUGUCUUCUACCAAGAUGUUAAAGCUUAUGAGACACCGCGGGCUCUGGGCGCACAGCUCCUCCCGGUCUAUCCUGCCUGCCGUGACCAAGCUGCCGCUUCGCGGGUUCAGAGAGAAAAGCUGG